AAUAUUGGUCAAUGGACGCAAGUCUGAACCAGCCAUGCCGCGUGCAGGAUGACGGCCCUACGGGUUGUAAACUGCUUUUAUACGGGAAUAAUGUGUCCUACGUGUAGGAUUUUGAAGGUACCGUAAGAAUAAGGAUCGGCUAACUCCGUGCCAGCAGCCGCGGUAAUACGGAGGAUCCAAGCGUUAUCCGGAUUCAUUGGGUUUAAAGGGUCCGUAGGCGGAUUUUUAAGUCAGAGGUGAAAGCCUGCAGCUCAACUGUGGAACUGCCUUUGAUACUGGAAAUCUUGAGUGUGCGUGAAGUAGGCGGAAUAAGUCAUGUAGCGGUGAAAUGCAUAGAUAUGACUUAGAACACCGAUUGCGAAGGCAGCUUACUAAAGCACUACUGACGCUGAGGGACGAAAGCGUGGGGAGCGAACAGGAUUAGAUACCCUGGUAGUCCACGCCGUAAACGAUGAUAACUCGCUGUUGGCGAUACACGGUCAGCGGCCAAGCGAAAGCGUUAAGUUAUCCACCUGGGGAGUACGCCGGCAACGGUGAAACUCAAAGG
rnacentral:rRNA from 1 species